GACGAACGCUGGCGGCGUGCUUAACACAUGCAAGUCGAACGGAAAGGCCCUGCUUUUGUGGGGUGCUCGAGUGGCGAACGGGUGAGUAACACGUGAGUAACCUGCCCUUGACUUUGGGAUAACUUCAGGAAACUGGGGCUAAUACCGGAUAGGAGCUCCUGCUGCAUGGUGGGGGUUGGAAAGUUUCUGCGGUUGGGGAUGGACUCGCGGCUUAUCAGCUUGUUGGUGGGGUAGUGGCUUACCAAGGCUUUGACGGGUCGCCGGCCUGAGAGGGUGACCGGCCACAUUGGGACUGAGAUACGGACCAGACUCCUACGGGAGGCAGCGGUGGGGAAUAUUGCACAAUGGGCGGAAGCCUGAUGCAGCAACGUCGCGGGCGGGAUGACGGCCUUCGGGUUGUAAACCGCUUUCGCCUGUGACGAAGCGUGAGUGACGGUAAUGGGUAAAGAAGCACCGGCUAACUACGUG
rnacentral:rRNA from 1 species